UACGUAGGGGGCAAGCGUUGUCCGGAAUUAUUGGGCGUAAAGAGCGUGUAGGCGGCCCGGGCAAGUCCGCCGUGAAAGUCCAGGGCUCAACCCUGGAAUGCCGGUGGAAACUGUCGGGCUUUGAGUUUCGGAAGAGGCGAGUGGAAUUCCUGGUGUAGCGGUGAAAUGCGGCAGAUAUCAGGAGGAACACCAAUGGCGAAGGCAGCUCGCUUGGAACGGUACUGACGCUGGAGGCGCGAAAGCGUGGGGAGCGAACAGG
rnacentral:rRNA from 1 species